GCCAGCAUGGCAGAGUGGUUUGAGUGUUGGACUAUAACUCUGAAGACUGGGGUUCGAUCCCCAGCUCAGCCA
rnacentral:tRNA from 1 species